rnacentral:rRNA from 1 species
GAUGAACGCUGGCGGCGUGCCUAAUACAUGCAAGUCGAGCGAACAGACGAGGAGCUUGCUCCUCUAACGUUAGCGGCGGACGGGUGAGUAACACGUGGAUAACCUACCUAUAAGACUGGGAUAACUUCGGGAAACCGGAGCUAAUACCGGAUAAUAUAUUGAACCGCAUGGUUCAAUAGUGAAAGACGGUUUUGCUGUCACUUAUAGAUGGAUCCGCGCCGCAUUAGCUAGUUGGUAAGGUAACAGCUUACCAAGGCAACGAUGCGUAGCCGACCUGAGAGGGUGAUCGGCCACACUGGAACUGAGACACGGUCCAGACUCCUACGGGAGGCAGCAGUAGGGAAUCUUCCGCAAUGGGCGAAAGCCUGACGGAGCAACGCCGCGUGAGUGAUGAAGGUCUUCGGAUCGUAAAACUCUGUAUUUAGGGAAGAACAAAUGUGUAAGUAACUAUGCACGUCUUGACGGUACCUAAUCAGAAAGCCACGGCUAACUACGUG